CAACCGGUAUGAGACCUUCCAAGCAUUGAGCAGUUAAAGAAGACCCCCUAUAAAGUUUUUUUUUUUUUUUU
rnacentral:misc_RNA from 1 species